AUUUAUAUUACUCAUAACCUACUAGUAUUCUAUAAAGCAGUUAGUGGCCGGCCGCCGAUGCCUGAUAGAAUGGCAAACCUAACACUAGCGGAUCUCUCACCAUCGUCGGCGUUGAGAAGAUGGCGGUGGUAGUAGGCGACUCACGGAGCUAUCCUUCCUACUGGAACGAGUCUGAUACUACUUUUCCUCUCCUUUGGUCUAAUGCAGAUUGUCAUCUAGAUUGUGUAAAUAUUCUAAAAAGAAUAUCAAUUUUCAAAACUUGGGGCAUUCCGAGAAUCGAACUCGGGACCUCUCGCACCCAAAGCGAGAAUCAUACCACUAGACCAAAUGCCCAGAUGCUAAAUUCAGACAAUAAUGUUAAGAAGAUUAGACUUUCGUCAUUUAAAAGUUAUAUGUGGUCUUUGGAGCUUAACAUUGCCAAUACAUUUGAGGCAGGUCUAGUACAGAUUGUCAUCAAGAUGGUGUAAAUAUUCUAAAUCACAACAUGAACUUCAGAUCUAAGAAGAAUGAAAAAAUAUCAAUUUUCAUUAGGUGUUUUGGGGCAUUCCGAGAAUCGAACUCGGGACCUCUCGCACCCAAAGCGAGAAUCAUACCACUAGACCAAAUGCCCAGAUGCUAAAUUCAGACAAUAAUGUUAAGAGGAUUAGACUUUCAUCAUUUAAAAAUUAUGUGGUCUUUGGAGCUUAACAUUGCCAAUACAUUUGAGGCAGAUCUAAGAAGAAUAAAAGAAUAUAUAUUUUCAGAAGUUGGGGCAUUCCGAGAAUCGAACUCGGGACCUCUCGCACCCAAAGCGAGAAUCAUACCACUAGACCAAAUGCCCAGAUGCUGAAUUCAGACCAUUAUGUAAAGAAGAAUGAUCUCGAGAAGCUUAGACUUUAGUCAUUUAAAAGUUCUAUGUGGUAUUUGGAGCUUAACAUUGCCAAUACAUUUAAGACAGGUCCAAUACAGAUUGUCAUCAAGAUGGCGUAAAUAUUCUAAAUCACAACAUGAACCUCAUUAUAAGAAGAAAUAUAUAUAUAUAUAUAUAUAUCAAUUUUCAUAAAAUAAAGGGGCAUUCCGAGAAUCGAACUCGGGACCUCUCGCACCCAAAGCGAGAAUCAUACCACUAGACCAAAUGCCCAGAUGUUAAAUUCAGACUAUAAUGUAAAGAAGCUUAGACCACAGUCAUUUACAAGUUCCAUGUGGUCUUUGGAGCUUAACAUUGCCAAUACAUUUGAGGCAGGAGAACUAGCAUGAGACUCGAGAACCAUGGCUCCCCGCUUAAAUUCAAGGUAAAAUGGAUUAUUGUUUUCUCCUUAGAAUGCGGGAUUUUGUGUGCAUGUUUGAAUAUGAACAUAUUUAGAGUUUGUGUUUGGCUGCAUUUGAAUUGUCUAAAGAUUGCAGGGACCUGAAGCAAGUAUCAUACCACUAAGACUAAAUGCUCAUGUGAGAACUUGAGCUAAUAGUGUUCUCAAGAGACUUACAAAUUAGUCAUUCAUUUAAAGGUCUGUAUGGUCUUUGUUUGCAUUUCAAGAAGUCAUUUUUAGGUCUCUGAUGUGUAGCUUCGAGUUACAGAAUUGUAUAAAACUUGCAUUAUUGGUAAUACAGGUUCUCAUCUAAUCGUCAAU